GACCCUUUCGUCUAGCAGGUCCAGGACACCACCCUUUCAUGGUGGCGACAUGGGUUCGAAUCCCUUAAGGGUCACCA
rnacentral:tRNA from 1 species